rnacentral:rRNA from 1 species
CAAGCGGUGGAGUAUGUGGUUUAAUUCGAUGCAACGCGAAGAACUUACCUGGUCUUGACAUCCCGGAGACCCUUAGGAAACUAGGGGGUGCUUCCAUCUGGAAGAAUCUGGAGACAGGUGCUGCAUGGCUGUCGUCAGCUCGUGUCGUGAGAUGUUGGGUUAAGUCCCGCAACGAGCGCAACCCUUGCCUUUAGUUGCCAGCAGUUCGGCUGGGCACUCUAAAGGGACUGCCGGUGUUAAACCGGAGGAAGGUGGGGAUGACGUCAAGUCCUCAUGGCCUUUAUGACCAGGGCUACACACGUACUACAAUGGCCGAUACAAAGGGCAGCGACACUGCGAGGUGAAGCCAAUCCCGUAAAAUCGGUCUCAGUCCGGAUUGGAGUCUGCAACUCGACUCCAUGAAGUUGGAAUCGCUAGUAAUCGUGGAUCAGCAUGCCACGGUGAAUACGUUCCCGGGCCUU